rnacentral:rRNA from 1 species
CUAUGACGCUGCGGCCAUCUUUUACCCCAUGCAAAGUCGAACGGCAGCCGCGGGGCAACCUGGCCGGCCGAGUGGCGAACGGGGUGAGUUAAUACAUCGGGAACCGUUCCCCAGAAAAGUGGGGGAUAACGUAGCGAAAAGUUACGCUUAAUACCCGCAUUCGGAUCUACGGAAUGAAAGUGGGGGACCUUCGGGCCCCUCAUGUUUUUGGAGCGGCCCGAUGUCUGAUUAGCUAGUUGGUAGGGUAAAGGCCUACCAAGGGCGACGAUCAGUAGCUGGUCUGAGAGGACGACCAGCCCACACUGGAACUGAGACACGGUCCAGACUCCUACGGGAGGCAGCAGUGGGGAAUUUUGGACAAUGGGCGCAAGCCUGAUCCAGCAAUGCCGCGUGAGUGAAGAAGGCCUUCGGGUUGUAAAGCUCUUUUGUCAGGGAAGAAACGGCUGCGGCUAAUAUCUGCGGCUAAUGACGGUACCUGAAGAAUAAGCACCGGCUAACUACGUGCCAGCAGCCGCGGUAAUACGUAGGGUGCAAGCGUUAAUCGGAAUUACUGGGCGUAAAGCGUGCGCAGGCGGUUUUGUAAGUCUGAUGUGAAAUCCCCGGGCUCAACCUGGGAAUUGCAUUGGAGACUGCAAGGCUAGAAUCUGGCAGAGGGGGGUAGAAUUCCACGUGUAGCAGUGAAAUGCGUAGAGAUGUGGAGGAACACCGAUGGCGAAGGCAGCCCCCUGGGUCAAGAUUGACGCUCAUGCACGAAAGCGUGGGGAGCAAACAGGAUUAGAUACCCUGGUAGUCCACGCCCUAAACGAUGUCUACUAGUUGUCGGGUUUUAAUUAACUUGGUAACGCAGCUAACGCGUGAAGUAGACCGCCUGGGGAGUACGGUCGCAAGAUUAAAACUCAAAGGAAUUGACGGGGACCCGCACAAGCGGUGGAUGAUGUGGAUUAAUUCGAUGCAACGCGAAAAACCUUACCUACCCUUGACAUGGAAGGAAUCCUGAAGAGAUUUGGGAGUGCCCGAAAGGGAACCUUCACACAGGUGCUGCAUGGCUGUCGUCAGCUCGUGUCGUGAGAUGUUGGGUUAAGUCCCGCAACGAGCGCAACCCUUGUCAUUAGUUGCUACGCAAGAGCACUCUAAUGAGACUGCCGGUGACAAACCGGAGGAAGGUGGGGAUGACGUCAAGUCCUCAUGGCCCUUAUGGGUAGGGCUUCACACGUCAUACAAUGGUACAUACAGAGGGCCGCCAACCCGCGAGGGGGAGCUAAUCCCAGAAAGUGUAUCGUAGUCCGGAUUGUAGUCUGCAACUCGACUACAUGAAGUUGGAAUCGCUAGUAAUCGCGGAUCAGCAUGUCGCGGUGAAUACGUUCCCGGGUCUUGUACACACCGCCCGUCACACCAUGGGAGCGGGUUUUACCAGAAGUAGGUAGCUUAACCGCAAGGAGGGCGCUUACCACGGUAGGAUUCGUGACUGGGGUGAAGUCGAAAG